rnacentral:misc_RNA from 1 species
UCUCCGUAGGUGAACCUGCGGAGGGAUCAUUACAGAGUUCAUGCCCUACCGGGUAGAUCUCCCACCCUAUGUUAUUAUUACUUUGUUGCUUUGGCGGGCCGUUAGGCUCCGGCCCGACUACCGGCCCCGGCUGGUAAGCGCCCGCCAGAGGGCCCAAAACCCUGAAUAUUAGUGUCGUCUGAGUACUAUAUAAUAGUUAAAACUUUCAACAACGGAUCUCUUGGUUCUG